rnacentral:misc_RNA from 1 species
GAUGAAGAACGCAGCGAAAUGCGAUACGUAAUGUGAAUUGCAGAAUUCAGUGAAUCAUCGAAUCUUUGAACGCACAUUGCGCCUGCCAGCACUCUGGCAGGCAUGCCUGUUCGAGCGUCAUUUCAACCAUCAAGCCCUAGGCUUGCGUUGGAGCCCUGCGGCUGCCGCAGGCCCCUAAAAGCAGUGGCGGGCUCGCUAUCACACCGAGUGCAGUAGAUUACUCUUCGCUCAGGGCGUGUGGCGGGUUCCAGCCGUGAAACCCCCUACUUCUCAAGGUUGACCUCGGAUCAGGUAGGAAUACCCGCUGAACUUAAGCAUAUCAAUAACGGAGGA